rnacentral:tRNA from 1 species
GGGUUGCAGCUCAGUGGUAGAACACAUGCCUAUCAUGUGUGAGGCACUGGGUUCAAUCCUUAGCAGCACA